GAUGAAUGCUGGCGGCGUGCCUAACACAUGCAAGUCGAGCGGCAGCGAGUUUUACACUGAAUUCUGGAAGCUUCUGAGUAGUACAGAAGAUUUAUUCAAGAGUUUUGUGUAAAAUGUCGGCGAGCGGCGGAUGGCUGAGUAACGCGUAGGAAUUUGCCCCAAAGUGAGGAAUAACUGCCCGAAAGGGUAGCUAAUGCCGCAUAUGGUCUUCGGAUUAAAGCCUUCGGGCGCUUUGGGAGAAGCCUGCGUUGGAUUAGGUAGUUGGUAGGGUAAUGGCCUACCAAGCCGACGAUCCAUAGCUGGUCUGAGAGGAUGAUCAGCCAGACUGGAACUGAGACACGGUCCAGACUCCUACGGGAGGCAGCAGUGAGGAAUCUUCCACAAUGGGCGAAAGCCUGAUGGAGCAACGCCGCGUGAAGGAUGAAGGCCUUCGGGUUGUAAACUUCUUUUAUGAGUGAAGAAUAUGACGGUAACUCAUGAAUAAGCACCGGCUAACUACGUG
rnacentral:rRNA from 1 species